CUAACGUCCGUCGUGAAGAGGGAAACAACCCAGACCGCCAGCUAAGGUCCCAAAGUCAUGGUUAAGUGGGAAACGAUGUGGGAAGGCCCAGACAGCCAGGAUGUUGGCUUAGAAGCAGCCAUCAUUUAAAGAAAGCGUAAUAGCUCACUGGUCGAGUCGGCCUGCGCGGAAGAUGUAACGGGGCUAAACCAUGCACCGAAGCUGCGGCAGCGAACGUAUCACUUAAAGCGAUUCAGCGGGUUACGAUUGACGGAGCGAAGCGACGUCAAAGCGUAUACAAAGUCGAGUCGGUUUAAGGAUACGUUCGUUGGGUAGGGGAGCGUUCUGUAAGCCUGUGAAGGUGGCCUGUGAGGGUUGCUGGAGGUAUCAGAAGUGCGAAUGCUGACAUAAGUAACGAUAAAGCGGGUGAAAAGCCCGCUCGCCGGAAGACCAAGGGUUCCUGUCCAACGUUAAUCGGGGCAGGGUGAGUCGACCCCUAAGGCGAGGCCGAAAGGCGUAGUCGAUGGGAAACGGGUUAAUAUUCCCGUACUUGGUGUUACUGCGAAGGGGGGACGGAGAAGGCUAUGUUGGCCGGGCGACGGUUGUCCCGGUUUAAGCGUGUAGGUGUGUGUUCCAGGUAAAUCCGGUUCACUUUAACACUGAGGCGUGACGACGAGGCACUACGGUGCUGAAGCAACAAAUGCCCUGCUUCCAGGAAAAGCCUCUAAGCAUCAGGUAACAUCAAAUCGUACCCCAAACCGACACAGGUGGUCAGGUAGAGAAUACCAAGGCGCUUGAGAGAACUCGGGUGAAGGAACUAGGCAAAAUGGUGCCGUAACUUCGGGAGAAGGCACGCUGACACGUAGGUGAAGUGAUUUACUCACGGAGCUGAAGUCAGUCGAAGAUACCAGCUGGCUGCAACUGUUUAUUAAAAACACAGCACUGUGCAAACACGAAAGUGGACGUAUACGGUGUGACGCCUGCCCGGUGCCGGAAGGUUAAUUGAUGGGGUCAGCGCAAGCGAAGCUCCUGAUCGAAGCCCCGGUAAACGGCGGCCGUAACUAUAACGGUCCUAAGGUAGCGAAAUUCCUUGUCGGGUAAGUUCCGACCUGCACGAAUGGCGUAAUGAUGGCCAGGCUGUCUCCACCCGAGACUCAGUGAAAUUGAACUCGCUGUGAAGAUGCAGUGUACCCGCGGCAAGACGGAAAGACCCCGUGAACCUUUACUAUAGCUUGACACUGAACAUUGAGCCUUGAUGUGUAGGAUAGGUGGGAGGCUUUGAAGUGUGGACGCCAGUCUGCAUGGAGCCGACCUUGAAAUACCACCCUUUAAUGUUUGAUGUUCUAACGUGGACCCGUAAUCCGGGUUGCGGACAGUGUCUGGUGGGUAGUUUGACUGGGGCGGUCUCCUCCUAAAGAGUAACGGAGGAGCACGAAGGUUGGCUAAUCCUGGUCGGACAUCAGGAGGUUAGUGCAAUGGCAUAAGCCAGCUUGACUGCGAGCGUGACGGCGCGAGCAGGUGCGAAAGCAGGUCAUAGUGAUCCGGUGGUUCUGAAUGGAAGGGCCAUCGCUCAACGGAUAAAAGGUACUCCGGGGAUAACAGGCUGAUACCGCCCAAGAGUUCAUAUCGACGGCGGUGUUUGGCACCUCGAUGUCGGCUCAUCACAUCCUGGGGCUGAAGUAGGUCCCAAGGGUAUGGCUGUUCGCCAUUUAAAGUGGUACGCGAGCUGGGUUUAGAACGUCGUGAGACAGUUCGGUCCCUAUCUGCCGUGGGCGCUGGAGAACUGAGGGGGGCUGCUCCUAGUACGAGAGGACCGGAGUGGACGCAUCACUGGUGUUCGGGUUGUCAUGCCAAUGGCACUGCCCGGUAGCUAAAUGCGGAAGAGAUAAGUGCUGAAAGCAUCUAAGCACGAAACUUGCCCCGAGAUGAGUUCUCCCUGAGACUUAGAGUCUCCUGAAGGAACGUUGAAGACGACGACGUUGAUAGGCCGGGUGUGUAAGCGCAGCGAUGCGUUGAGCUAACCGGUACUAAUGAACCGUGAGGCUUAACCUUACA
rnacentral:rRNA from 1 species